UUAAUGGCCGCGGUAUUUUGACCGUGCAAAGGUAGCAUAAUAAUUAGUUUUUUAAUUGAAAGCUAGAAUGAAGGGUUGAAUGAGAAAAUAACUGUCUUUGUAAUAUUUAAUUAGAAUUUUAUUUUUAAGUUAAAAAGCUUAAAUUUUAUUUAUAGACGAGAAGACCCUUUAGAGUUUUAUAAAAAUAUAUUUUUAACUUUUUAGAAUUAAUACCUAUAAAUGUAUAUUUUUAUUUAAUUGGGGUGAUUGAAAAACUUAAAAAACUUUUUUUAUUAUUUAACAUUUAUAUAUGAAUUAUUGAUCCAUAAAUUAUGAUUAUAAGAUUAAAUUACCUAAGGGAUAACAGCGUUAUUUUUUUUGAGAGUUCUAAUCGAAAAAAAAGAUUGCGACCUCGAUGUUGGAUUAAAAUUAAAUUAUGGUGUAGAGGCUAUAAAUUUAGGUCUGUUCGACCUUUAAAAUUUUACAUGAUCUGAGUUUAAACCGGUUUGAGCCAGGUUGGUUUCUAUCUUAAAUAUUUAAAUAAUUUUUUAGUACGAAAGGACCAAAAAUUAUAAUAAAAAUAUAUUAAUUAGAAUAAAAUA
rnacentral:rRNA from 1 species